GGAAAUGCAGGCAGAAAGCAGCCUCACAGACAAAUGGAAUGGAUUUCACAGCACCGCCAUUUGUUGCCUCUCCUUCCGCUGUGCCGCUUACACCACGGAAACAGCCCUGCAGCCCUAAUGGGAAACCUGUCCUACCCGGGCUCUAUGACUUUAGGAAGGAUAUCGUCGGUGCUGUUGUGGCUUCAGUGCUCAACCACAGCUCCGGGUGUCAGAGCGUGCAGCAGGUGUUCUUUUUCCAGAGGUCAGUGGAAGUCCCGUUCUCUCAAGGCAGCAGCACACUGAGAAUCAUUGCUGUGCUUUUCAGAGGUAUUUUAAAGGUCAACACAUAGAAAGAAGAUCAGCAUUAAGUACUUUUGUCAUCUUAAUCAACCCCUGGAAACCAGCAAAAGCAAUGCCUACAGGCAAAUAGCAAUCUGAUAAUUUUUUUUUUCCUGAGAAAUGUCUCCUGAAAUAAAGAAGAUAGAGAUGUGAGUUGUUUCUAAAUCUAUAUUGUUGAAUUGCCUUUAACCCAAUUCAUAUCAUUCAAGAUUUUUUUCCUGCAUAAAAAGUCAUGGACAACCAUAUAGAGUCAUAGAAUCACAUGGCUAAUUGGUUACCCAAAGCACAGUCCUUUAGUCCUUUUAGAACAAAUACAUCACUGGCUGCAUCCCCUGCAGCAAGCAGUGC
ensembl:lncRNA